CGAGCGCGCCCUUCGGGGUGAGCGGCGGACGGGUUAGUAACGCGUGGGAACGUACCCAGAUCUAAGGAAUAGCCACUGGAAACGGUGAGUAAUACCUUAUACGCCCUUCGGGGGAAAGAUUUAUCGGAUUUGGAUCGGCCCGCGUUAGAUUAGAUAGUUGGUGGGGUAACGGCCUACCAAGUCUACGAUCUAUAGCUGGUUUUAGAGGAUGAUCAGCAACACUGGGACUGAGACACGGCCCAGACUCCUACGGGAGGCAGCAGUGGGGAAUCUUGGACAAUGGGCGCAAGCCUGAUCCAGCCAUGCCGCGUGAGUGAUGAAGGCCUUAGGGUCGUAAAGCUCUUUCGCCAGGGAUGAUAAUGACAGUACCUGGUAAAGAAACCCCGGCUAACUCCGUGCCAGCAGCCGCGGUAAUACGGAGGGGGUUAGCGUUGUUCGGAAUUACUGGGCGUAAAGCGCGCGUAGGCGGGUUGUUAAGUUAGAGGUGAAAUCCCGGGGCUCAACCCCGGAACUGCCUUUAAUACUGGCAACCUAGAGUUCGAGAGAGGUGAGUGGAAUUCCGAGUGUAGAGGUGAAAUUCGUAGAUAUUCGGAGGAACACCAGUGGCGAAGGCGGCUCACUGGCUC
rnacentral:rRNA from 1 species